rnacentral:rRNA from 1 species
UAAGACGAACCGUGCGAACGUUAUUCGGAAUCACUGGGCUUAAAGCGCGUGUAGGCGGGCCAUCACGUCCGGCGCUGAAAUCCCCCGGCUCAACCGGGGAACGGGCACGGAUACGAGUGGCCUGGAGGGGGGUAGGGGGAGCCGGAACUUCCGGUGGAGCGGUGAAAUGCGUUGAGAUCGGAAGGAACGCCCGUGGCGAAAGCGGGCUCCUGGGCCUUACCUGACGCUGAGACGCGAAAGCCAGGGGAGCAAACGGGAUUAGAUACCCCGGUAGUCCUGGCCGUAAACCAUGGGCACUGGGUAGGGGGCUCGCCGAUGGGCUCCCUGCCGCAGCGAAAGCGUGAAGUGCCCCGCCUGGGGAGUAUGGUCGCAAGGCUG